rnacentral:lncRNA from 1 species
AGAGUACGAUCCCUUGAACCAACCUACAAAUACAGGUAGCUCAUUUCAUAGUUUGCUGGAGUCUGCUUCAACGGAGCCUGAUUUUCCAUUUUGCCAUAGUAGAAUUGAACCUUUUCAAAGAUCAGUUUCUUCUUUUGUAUUUUUAACAAGUUAAUCUUUUUGCCUUCUGUCCGUCUCAGACACGACUUCGUGAUGCUCUGUUCCCUUUUCUUUGUUUUUAAAGAGAUAAAAUGUUGAGUUGGGCUGAAACAGGAAACCCUAUCCUGAGGUUGCCAUUGGAGAUAGGUCUAGUCAUCUUUUUGGCUUAGGCCUGCUUCAUUUUGUCUUAUUUUGUCUCAUGUGGUUCAUCUGGCUUGAGUUCAACCUUAGGAACAAGGCUUGAGACUUGGAGUUGUGCUCACUUUGGAACUGAACCAGCAAUGGAGAGGAGCCGAUGCUGGCCAGAACAUGAGUCCUAUGCUCUGGGGAUGAUGAUUUUGGGCGGUUAUAAGUAGCUGGAAGCGUGAAGACUCAGCACCCAGGCCUCUCCGUAAGCCUGUGUAUUGGAGAUUCACAGGAAUGUUCCUGAAAGGCACACUCAGACGUGAGAGGCAGAUGGAUGUGUCCCAGGAGGUAUUCACACUUGCAGAUACUUAACUUGAUGGAUCAGAGAAGAAAGUUGGAGAGAUGUGUGCACAUGAACACCCCGUUCCCUUCCAUUCCAGUUAUCUCAUUUCAUCCUUACAUCAUUAGAGCACCAGCCCUCAGCAGCGUCGUGCCCUACUCACAAGUUUGCCAACACCUUCUCCAAAUCAUAGUGAUCAGCACAGUUAAUAGACUUCAGCUGUCUUUUUGGGAGACCUGGCAACAAAGUUAACUGAAAGAAAGCCAUUAAAAAAGGAAAGGAAAGGAAAGGAAAGGAAAGGAAAGGAAAGGAAAGGAAGGAAGACUAUUUUAUGGCCUAAAUGUGGAAAUAAUACAGACCACCAGCUAAGGUAAUAAAUAGUUUAAAAAAAAAGAGAAAAAGAAAAUGUUCAGGUUUACUUCAAUAUUAUGUACAUAAAUGAAUGGUGGCAAAAGAUCACCCUUAAAAGGUCCCACAUUUGCCAACAAACUAUUGCUGCUAUGACCAUUCCACCCACAGCAAUGGUCUGAAUGCUGUAUGAAGGAGCUAAGGGACAAUGCUCAAGUCCCCCAGCAAGGUCACCGGCAAAGGACACCAUGGAAGCCAUUUUCUGGGACCGUCUCUAAGCUGCUCUUCUCUGUGUUGGCCCCUUAGGAGGAUCCCUUGUCCUUCUGGGAUUCUCAGUGUUCAUCACUGGCUGGACUUCACCAAAG